AUACGUGAGUAACCUACCUUUAACUCUGGGAUAAGCCUGGGAAACUGGGUCUAAUACCGGAUACGACCAAUCUCCGCAUGGGGUGUUGGUGGAAAGCGUUAUGUAGUGGUUAUAGAUGGGCUCACGGCCUAUCAGCUUGUUGGUGAGGUAACGGCUCACCAAGGCGACGACGGGUAGCCGGCCUGAGAGGGUGACCGGCCACACUGGGACUGAGACACGGCCCAGACUCCUACGGGAGGCAGCAGUGGGGAAUAUUGCACAAUGGGCGCAAGCCUGAUGCAGCGACGCCGCGUGAGGGAUGACGGCCUUCGGGUUGUAAACCUCUGUUAGCAGGGAAGAAGAGAGAUUGACGGUACCUGCAGAGAAAGCGCCGGCUAACUACGUGCCAGCAGCCGCGGUAAUACGUAGGGCGCGAGCGUUGUCCGGAAUUAUUGGGCGUAA
rnacentral:rRNA from 1 species